rnacentral:rRNA from 1 species
UGAAUACGAGACGCUAAGGCGUCGAAGUAGUGUAUGUCAUACUUCCAAGAAAAGCUUGCACUGUCAUAGAUAAAAAACGCCUGUACCAUAACCGACACAGGUGGGUAGGUAGAGCAUACUAAGGGGCGCGAGAUAACUCUCUCUAAGGAACUCGGCAAAAUAACUCCGUAACUUCGGGAGAAGGAGUGCCUUAUUCGUAAGGUUGCAAUAACAAGAUCCAAGCAACUGUUUAUCAAAAACACAGGUCUCCGCUAAGUCGUAAGACGAUGUAUGGGGGCUGACGCCUGCCCAGUGCCAGAAGGUUAAAGAAGUUGGUUAGCAAUUGCGAAGCUGAUAACUGAAGCCCUGGUGAACGGCGGCCGUAACAAUAACGGUCCUAAGGUAGCGAAAUUCCUUGUCGGGUAAGUUCCGACCCGCACGAAAGGCGUAAUGAUUUGGAUACUGUCUCGGAGAGGGGCUCGGUGAAAUAGACUUGUCUGUGAAGAUGCGGACUACCUGCACCAGGACAGAAAGACCCUAUGAAGCUUUACUGUAACUUGAAAUUGAAAUUGGACUUUAUUCGCGCAGUAUAGGUGGGAGGCGUUGAUUAUAAUCUUGUGGGAUUAUUGGAGCCAUCAGUGAGAUACCACUCUUGUAAUGUUAGAUUUCUAACUUUGAAUCAUUAUCUGGUCAAAGAACAGUUUCAGGCGGGCAGUUUGACUGGGGCGGUCGCCUCCUAAACGGUAACGGAGGCGUACAAAGGUUUCCUCUGAACGGUUAGAAAUCGUAUCUAGAGUGUAAAGGCAUAAGGAAGCUUGACUGUGAGACCUACAAGUCGAGCAGGGACGAAAGUCGGUCUUAGUGAUCUGACGGUACUGAGUGGAAAGGCCGUCACUCAACGGAUAAAAGUUACUCUAGGAUAACAGGCUGAUCUCCCCCAAGAGUUCACAUCGACGGGGAGGUUUGGCACCUCGAUGUCGGCUCAUCGCAUCCUGGGGCGGUAGUACGUCCCAAGGGUUGGGCUGUUCGCCCAUGAAAGCGGUACGCGAGCUGGGUUCAGAACGUCGUGAGACAGUUCGGUCCAUAUCCGGUGUAGGCGUUAGAAUAUUGAGAGGAGCCUUCUUUAGUACGAGAGGACCGAGAAGGACAUACCUCUGGUGUACCAGUUAUCGUGCCAACGGUAAACGCUGGGUAGCUAUGUAUGGAGUGGAUAACCGCUGAAAGCAUCUAAGAGGGAAGCCCACCUCAAGAUAAG